rnacentral:rRNA from 1 species
UACGAAGGGGGCUAGCGUUGUUCGGAAUUACUGGGCGUAAAGCGCACGUAGGCGGAUUUGUAAGUCAGGGGUGAAAUCCCGGGGCUCAACCUCGGAACUGCCUUUGAUACUGCAAGUCUUGAGUCCGAUAGAGGUGAGUGGAAUUCCUAGUGUAGAGGUGAAAUUCGUAGGUAUUAGGAAGAACACCAGUGGCGAAGGCGGCUCACUGGAUCGGUACUGACGCUGAGGUGCGAAAGCGUGGGGAGCAAACAGG